CAGUCGCCGCGGUAAUACGUAGGUGGCGAGCGUUGUCCGGAAUUAUUGGGCGUAAAGGGAGCGCAGGCGGGCGAGUAAGUCUUUCUUAAAAGUGCGGGGCUCAACCCCGUGAGGGGAGAGAAACUACUCAUCUUGAGUGCAGGAGAGGAAAGCGGAAUUCCUAGUGUAGCGGUGAAAUGCGUAGAUAUUAGGAAGAACACCAGUGGCGAAGGCGGCUUUCUGGACUGUAACUGACGCUGAGGCUCGAAAGCCAGGGGAGCGAACGGGAUUAGAUACCCCAGUAGUCCCUGUCUCUUAUACA
rnacentral:rRNA from 1 species